rnacentral:ncRNA from 2 species
AAACACUACGGGGUAGUAGCACUAUAAGAAGCGCGAGGAAGGCUUUGCCGGCACGUGUUUGACGUGCCGGCAAAGGCCACCGGCAGUACGCCAGGCCAACGACUAAGAAAUACGAGGCACGCUUCGAGCGUGGUUGAAAUUGGGCGUUCCGCCGCCCGGCCGGCCGUGGUCAGAGCCGGCGGGCGGCGGACGUGUUUUAAGC